rnacentral:rRNA from 1 species
GACGUAGGGCGCGAGCGUUGUCCGGAUUUAUUGGGCGUAAAGAGCGUGUAGGCGGUCCGGUAAGUCCGCUGUGAAAGUCGGGGGCUCAACCCUCGAAUGCCGGUGGAUACUGUCGGGCUAGAGUGCGGAAGAGGCGAGUGGAAUUCCUGGUGUAGCGGUGAAAUGCGCAGAUAUCAGGAGGAACACCUAUUGCGAAGGCAGCUCGCUGGGACGUAACUGACGCUGAGACGCGAAAGCGUGGGGAGCAAACAGG